AGCUUUUCGGAUCCGUGCUGAGAUUUCGUCAGACACCAACCUAUUAGGGUUGAAAAAACUUCCAAGAUAAGUGAAGUU
rfam:Schistosoma haematobium scaffold2496_12, whole genome shotgun sequence.